CUCUCAACUCUCAAAAAAUCACAGCCGCUAAAACCCUACCCCUUUACGAUCACCACAGCCAACCUCAGUCCACGAUCUCAGCAACCACUAGAAGCUGCCGCUCUAGCCACCCUAAUCCUUAAGUCAUCAAACCCACGAGCUGGGCUCAUGAAAACAGGUGACGAUCUUAUUAUAGCAAGUAUUGGAUCGAGACCUAAGAGCAGAUAGCGUUGGGCAGAAUCAAUGAUCAGAAUGGAAUCAUGCAUGUUCAAUUAACUACAGAUUUGAAGCCUGGAUUACCAAAAUCCAGGCGAAGCAGAAAGAAUAAGAACAUGUAAUGGCGCCAGAGUACUUGAACUAGAGGAAGAGAGCCACGCACCCAUCGAGUCUGGCUACCUCGUGAAGAUUCUCUAGGCUUAGUAAUGUCUCGAGCUUUUGGAGAUUCUGUACUAAAAAAUGUGGCAUAAUUGCAUUAGCAGACAUCUCUUAUCACCGAGUAACUUCCAAGGACCAGUUCAUGGUGGGGAAAGGCUUCUGAAGUAUGGGAACGUUGCCGAAGCUCUCUGCUACAUAGCAGAAAGCAAAUUUGAAUCUUUCACCAGUGUUCGUAAUAUUUAAGCCCCUUUUAUAAAUGAAUAGGCGACA